UAUCUGUGACACUUGAUCCUGAUCCUGAAGACUUGGUAAGAACUCAACUAGGAGCUCAACUAGGGGAAGAGGCUAAUGGCAUACUAGACUAGAUUAUGUUGAAGAAUGGACAACUCAAAGAACUUGGUAUGUUUGGGACUUUGGAAUCUCCAUAAUGGAAGGUACCCAUGAGUGAGGGCUGGAGAGAAGUGAGGAGGGGUUUGGACCAGAGCUUGAAAUGUCUUCAAUACCGUGCUGGAUUUCUUCUGUUUGUCUCUCCAGGUAGCUCUUUACCCUUGUCCACCAUGUUCUUGGAAGGUCAUUAGUGGGUCUUUUUGCCCUUCAUCUUCUUAUUGGAUUCCCCCAGCACAGAACUCUGGCAGGAAACUGAAAGAAGGGAGAAGAGUGAGGUCAAAGCAUUUGCUUUGUUGGCUCCUUCCACAAGAAGUCAUCUGGGAUUGGCUGCUUCCCCCAGCUGAGGGUCAUUGGGACUCUAAACCUGGCCAAGUCAACUUGUCCUUUAAGGAUCAGGUGUGUUAUGGGAUGUAUGAUUCUGGAAAGCUGGCCUGGAGCGAGAUUGAUGUGGACCUUGGAUUCUCUGCCAGGGGUUUUGAACUUUUUGCUGCUGAGAAGAGGAGCCAUUAAAGGACAAAUUGAAGAUCAUUAAGAACUUCUUCUCCCUCCGAUGAGUCCUUCUGCCUCAAUGUGCCAUGAGGCUAUCAUAUUUGCCUCCCUCUGUGUGCACAGUUGACGAGCAUAUCACACAGUAGAGGCUAAAGUGGCCACAAGAGGCUGCGUUGAGGUUGCUGGAGAAGAGAGAAGCACACGGCCAGAGAGAAGGUUCAUGGGAUGUCCACUAUUUAGAUGCCUGACUUCAGAGUUAGCCAUGUCUUGGCUCUUGGCAAUUCCUAAGGAAAUUCUGGAUGACGACCCUUGGAAGACUUUCUGGCCCAGGUAAUGCAUUUCAUGUUCUCCUUCAUGUUUCUUCUUUGCCCUUCUCAUGAGUAGACUUAGAUUUAUACACACACACACAAAAGUUUCAGUUCUCAGCUCAGAAGAUAGAAAUUUCUUGACGUCUGAGCAGAAGGGGGAUCACUGAGACUCAAGAAAGCACUUCAUGACCGGGGUCAUGAUGGUGUAUCGAUCAGCGCUGGCUGUUUUCUAUCAGUCAGGGUGGCAUGGGUGGUAACAAACAGCCCCCAGAUAUUUUUUUAACCCUUUUGUGUAAAAUAAAACACAGAUAAUGCAACCCCCGAGAAACAGUAUUUAUCGCCUUAUUAUAAGGCUAACACCCUUGUAACAGGUACUCAAGUUUGGAAACGGAGCUCAGAUGCCCUGUCCCUUGGCUCCCUCCCAAACUAACCAUCUUCUUCACCUUUCUGUAAAAAGCCCCAAAUCGUAAUGGGUGAAAACAA
rnacentral:lncRNA from 1 species